rnacentral:rRNA from 1 species
UACAGGGGGUGCAAACGUUGCUCGGAAUUACUGGGCGUAAAGCGCACGUAGGCGGCUUUGUAAGUUAGAGGUGAAAGCCCGGAGCUCAACUCCGGAACUGCCUUUAAGACUGCAUCGCUUGAAUCCAGGAGAGGUGAGUGGAAUUCCGAGUGUAGAGGUGAAAUUCGUAGAUAUUCGGAAGAACACCAGUGGCGAAGGCGGCUCACUGGACUGGUAUUGACGCUGAGGUGCGAAAGCGUGGGGAGCAAACAGG